rnacentral:pre_miRNA from 1 species
CGUGGGGCUUGUGGUACUUCUGGGUGCGGGUGCAGUGCGUGUGUUGGCGCAGGGGUAAGCCAGUCCCUAUUUC